ACAUAGCCACGAUUGCAGCGGCAUCCUUUUGUGAAGCGAAGCGGAACAAAAGAUACAGCGGAAAGCGGGAAAAAGC
rfam:Chryseobacterium gambrini strain DSM 18014 genome assembly, contig: Ga0111674_102